AGGUUCAAAGAAUGAGGAAAGGAAAGAUGAUCUCCUCCAAGGCGCGUCCAUCAUGAUUAGACCAGCGUAAAAGUCUCAAGAAACCAUGCAAGAAAAGACAUAGGAAGUCUGCCAUUUCGCCUUGAAGUGACCAAUUAAAGCAGCGCUAGUCGGGCAGAUGGAGGAUAAAAAUGCACCAACACUGUGGUGAUGAAGCAACAACAACAGCAGCAGCUGCAUUUCAAACGCACAAACGACGACGCAAAGUCUGAUUCCGUCAAUUAAGGCGCGGGUUGUGAUUUAAUCCAAAUACAGGCUUUAAUUGCUAAUAUCAAAGCGUAAUUAAGAUGAUAAAUCGUGACUGAUCUUAUUGAAUUAGAAGCUGGCACAGAAGCAACAAAUUGACUGUCAGCUAAAUAAGUGUUUGUAAUUGGCUGACAAGUUUGCUUCCAGUGCUCAUCAAACGCAUUUUACCCUCAGAAACUAUUCCCAAAUAAAAGUUUUUUUAAAAUAGUAACUUAAUAUAAAUAACUUGGAAAUUCCCUUGUUUUUUGGCGCUUUCAGAGAAAGACCCUAAUUGAUUAAUGUGUCAUCAAGCAUAACGUUAGAUUCAUACCAUUAUAAAUGUUCGGGGAAAAUCCACCAAGUCGCAAAAGGACGGCAUGUGGAUGACCAUCCGAGCCAAUGUUGUGAAGCUUGUACGGCUUCUAGUCAACACUCAAGUAGCAGCAUUGUGUCUUGUGUGCAGGUUCUUGUGAUUUCACCACGGAAUGUUGGCAAGAAGAACAAUGUUACGAUGACCCUCCAGGCCAAUGCAGGAAAACUAUCAGAAUCAGAAUCACCUUUAUUUGCCAAAUAUGUCCAAAAAACACACAAGGAAUUUGUCUCCGGUAGUUGGAGCCAACAACAACAACAACUAUGAUCCCUUCUCCAAGUUCUCGUCAGCACUAGAGUUGUUGUUAGAUAGAUGGAUUUUGGAUUGGAGUUCAGAAAGACCCCCCUAAAUUGCUUAAUUUAAAAAGUCAUAAACCAUUAUUUUAGCAUUAUAGGACUUUAAAUAUUGGAGGGAAAUACACAAAGAUAGACAAUGAUCUCUUCUCAUAGUUGUAGUCAGCACUCAAGUAGCAGCAUUCUGGAUGCUAGGUGGAUGGCUUCUUUUUGAAGCAAAGACAACAUUCUCACACAAAUGAAAGUCAAGUUUGCUUCCAGCGCUCAUCAAAUGCAUUUUACCCCAUACAAGCUAUUCCCAAAAUAAAGUUUGAAAUUAAAUAUGAUUCCACAGGACUAACUUGGAAAUUCCCUUUUUCGGACUUUGAGAAAGAACCUCCUUAGUUAACGUGUCAAAAUGUAUUAUGUUAGACUCAUGCCAUUCUAAAUAUCAGG